CCACGGGAUAUGGAUCAUCAAAAAAUAAAGCCCAAUCAAAGCUUGGACCAUGUUGAAUUCGGGUCAACAAACAUCAAUUACAAACUGGCCCCGAUGGAAGUGAACAUGGGAAUCCAAUGGACAGACCCUAGCCGCAUGGAUGUUGGGUGCGGAUGAAGAGGCCAACCAUCAUUAAUGCUAGCUGGCAGCAGUUAAUGAAAAAUUGCUUACAAGGAAAAGCCAAACGACAACUAAAUGGCACGAUAAUCCUGCGGGUGGGUUUUAAUUGCCUUAAGACCAAAAUAAAUAAAAGAAAAAAACUGAAGGAAAGUUAAAAAAACAUUCGUCUCUCCCCCUAAAAAAAACAACCAUUCUCAGGGAAAAUAAACAAAAAUCCCAGCUUGAGGAAAAGCAAACCGUAAACCCAAGAACAUAAAGCUUCAAGGGUGAUGCCAACGAAGCUUAAUCCGAGAAUUAAAAAAAUGAUGAAACCCCAAAACAAAAUCCAUACUCCCCCUAAGUUAUGGUCAACAGUAUGGAGAAAAGUCGUCAAGAUUAGAUCAAACAAAGCAUGGUACGAGAAGGGACUGCCCGCUCACGGCGAGAUCGACGGUGAUUGGAAAAGUCACGCUUGGAUCCUUCUUGCAAAUGCUUCUUCGUUCGUCGACUUACCUCCGGUGCAUGUUCGCUUGCGUACCUCACCCUUGGUAGAGGCUCCGUCUGAAAGGGCGGCGGGAUGAAACUCUAGUGGUCUCUCCAAAGGGAAUGCCGACCCUAGGUUAUCCACUUCUUCUCUUAGCAAAAUUUUCGUUUUUUGUUGUUUCUUUCUUUUCCCUCCCUAUAUGAUUUUUUUAGCGUCUUGUGAAUAGUAUCGGCCGCCCUCUCCAAAUUAGGGUUUGUGUCUUCUUAUAGGUGCAAACAAAUGGGGACCACGAGAGUGGAUUCGAAAUUUUUUCAUAGUACAAAGUUGCUCUUUCAACCUUAUGGUCCCUCUGCUCAAAUCCUCCACUCAUCCUUUUAUCGUCGGUAACAGGGGGAUACGCUGAGUUUGUGGGCAUAAGGGUUCAUGAUACUUUUCGGUUUUCAUUCCAACAAUAGCUGAAGGGAUCACAAAUCUUGAUUUGCCUAUCAAUAAGUACCACUCCAACUCCAAUGGCUUCUUUAACUACCUUGCUCUCUUUUACCUUUGAAACAGUUGAACUCUCUACAUGUCUACAAACUAGGACCUUCCCUUUGGUCUUUGUUUUAUUCAAAGAACUCUCUAAACAGUAGCUUUCUUUUUCUCAUGUUCAAACUUGACAUGAUAGUAAUGGUUUCAUAGCAUGGUUUUAUGGUUAUUAUUAUUGGACUGAUGCGAAUUUUAUUUUGCUUGUUUGGAGAUAAAACAUGUAGGUUGGUGCUACUACAAGGCUUGCCUUCAUACUGGUCUAGGAAUCCCAUGGAAUAAAAUGGAUCUGGCCAAUUAAAAGGCUACGACUUUGUUCAGUUUGAUAGUGAGGAUGUUGCUCAAAGGCUAUUGAAAAGUUUAAUGGUAUGCUGUUGAAUGAUAAGAAAGUUUAUGUGGGACCCUUCCUUCGCAAGCAAGAGAGAAAGACCACAAGAUGAGUUGAAGUAGAUCCAACUUGAACAUCAAAUACACCCGCUGCAUGAGAUAAUGAAUCAUGUGGAUCAAGAAUGCCCCAAAGCCAGAGCUCCAUCCCUUCUAUUCACUGCAAUUUAUGGUUAUGACUGCAAUUUAUGGUUCACUUCCCAAAAGAGAACACAUUCAUGACAGUUAGUAAUACAAAUGUGUUUUGCGGCCACGAUCACAUGAACCCUUUCAUAGCGUUUGACUCUCACAACCUUGCCAACUACACCAAGAGCUAUUGUGGCAUCUGAGCAUCCAUAGACAACGGCCUAUCUCAAAGGUGCUAAGACAUAGACGGUAGACUCUUGGCAAUUUAGAACCUUAACAGAUGAAUGUUUCAUGUCAGAUGCAUGCUUCACAUAAGAAGCUUUAAAGACCCCUUCAAUGAAAUACGAAUCCCUGGUACUAGCUGAAGACUUAACCGAGACAGGGCAUGCACCAGUCAUAGCAACAUCUUGAUCAGUGGCAUUGGAUGGCCCAUUUUCCUUUGCAGAAGUCCUUUCAGAAAUAUGCUCCAAAGAAGAAGUUAUGUUUUGCAUAAGCCAGUCAUGAACUUGCGUAACAAGAACAGGAAUGGCAGGCAUGUCGGGAUCCGAAUUCGCAAAAAAAAUGGAGAUGAUUGACUUAAACAGUUUCCUUCAACUUUAUCGCCAAACUGAACCAAGAACCUAAUGUCCAUCUUGGAAAUUUCUAAUUCUUAGAAAGAUCUCAUGGUUUGAAAUAUAUUACUUGUUGUGAAAUGAAAAUUAGUGUCCUUGUAGCUAAACAUAAUUGUUCUUGGCCUUAGAGCUUCCAAACAUUCAUGUAAGAUACUUUAAGAUCAUGCAUGUAAAUGAAUGAAUGGCUGAUCGGGAAAAUAGCAAGUGUACUAUUUCUAUCGAUGUAGUAAUGA